rnacentral:rRNA from 1 species
UAGCUUAUGGUUAAAUGCCAUAGAAUCUUAUAGAUUUAGAUAUAUAUCGGUUAUGGAUGAGCUUGCGGGGUAUUAGGUAGUUGGUGUGGUAAUGGCGCACCAAGCCCAAGAUGCCUAGCCGGUUUGAGAGAACGAUCGGCCACACUGGGACUGAGACACGGCCCAGACGCUUACGAGCGGCAGCAGUGGGGAAUAUUGGACAAUGGGCGAAAGCCUGAUCCAGUGAUAUCGCUUUGGGGAUGACGGCGACAUACGUUGUAAACCCAAUGAAGUACGUUUAGAUUAUGACCGUACGUAUUUUAGAAGUCCCGGCUA